GCCCGGACGCCGCCGAGUCGCGGACCACGCCUGUGGCCGCGAGCCGGGGACCCACCGCGUCACCGGGGUGAGUCCCACCGCCCGGUCCUCCCGGGAGGUGGGUAGGGCGACAUCCCCGCCCGAACCCGUCAGCUGACCCGGUAGGCGGCCACGGGAGAAACG
rnacentral:sRNA from 2 species